UGUAUGGAGAUAAUAGGGCCAGGGCCUCCCACGAGACCCGAAGAAAAAUUUUUGGAAGUCCUCAAUGGACUGAAGGACU
rnacentral:snRNA from 1 species